rnacentral:lncRNA from 1 species
CUCAGAGUUCUCCAGUCCUAACUGUGUACAGACAGGAUGUAAGAGAAGAACUGGAGGCUCUAAGCAGAGGAUCCAUCGGCUGCAGGCAGAGGGAAGAGGGCCUCUGUGAGGAACAGGCUGAGCGUCAGAGGAGGAGGCCCAGGCCUGGUUCUCUAGCUCUGUAAUUAAUUAACUAAAGUGGAUCAAAUGAGAAGGUGAAAGUUCACAGAGGAACACUCCUGUCUGUCGUCUUGGACUGGGUCUCCAUCCCACCAUCCAGCGUCCUGGUCUACGAAGAGUCCACAGGGACCUUGUGAAGAAUCAACAAGGCGGGGUCCAGAGGAGUCACGUGUCCCUUCCACUCCGGGUCACCCUGUCGGAAUGGGGAUGCCACUGCCCUGGGCCCUCAGCCUCUUGUUGGUCCUCCUGCCUCAGACCUGGGGCUCAGGUAAGAGGCCACCAGGACCUGGAGUGUGUCAGGAAGGGGACAGGAAGAAGAGCCAAAGAGUGGAAGAGGGACAAUAAGUCCACUUUUUCCAUGAUGUCCUAGCCUUCAUGGAAAUCUCACUGUGGGUAACUUCUCUGUGCAUCUGAGUCAAAUACACUUGACAAUCUC